AUUAUUCAAGGCUGUGGGUUUCCAGCGGAAAGAACAAAUGAUGAGUAAUCCCUAGUUUCAGUCCUUGAAGAAAGGAGGUUGUGGAAGAGACAGGAAGUAAACACAAUUUUGGUACAGCAUGCUGAAGACCAGGUAUAAGACAUUCUCGACAUGGAUCAUGUUGGUAUGAUCUGCGAAGAUGAACUGCUCAUAUUUCUGAAGCUCCUGGGAAGUGAGAGAGAAAAGGAGGAAGAAGAAAAGGCAGGACAUCAGAGGAGUACAACUCAGAGCUACAUUGAAAUUCCAUCUCACACUAUCAGAAUGGCAGAGACCCAGUGCUGGUAAGGAUGCGGCUCUCAAAUACUUCCUCAGCACCAUGCCUGCCUUGCAUGUCACCGUGCUCCCUGCCAAGAUGAUAACGGACUAAGCCUCUGCAACUGUAAGCCCAGCCCCAAUUCAAUGCUUUCUCUUAUAACUUGCCUUGGUCAUGGUGUCUCUUCACAGCAACAGGACAGUGACUAAGACAUUGACUUCUCCGCUAAUGGACAUUUUUGUGCACAUUCUAUUCUGUAUGGACAACUUAAGAACUUGUUUCUCUUAGGUAGAUACGUAGAAGUGGGGUCGCUGGAUCAGGUGUAGCUAUAUGUUCAACAUUAUUAACACACAAGUCCUUUUCCAGUUGAGAACCAAGGAGUCUUCCUUUUCAAUGGGCACUGAUGGGCUCCCAUUCCAAGACAGCUCAGACAUGAUGCAAAAUCCCUUGACUUUCCCAGCCUCCCAGAGCCUUCCAAAAAUGCCUUAUUGUGGUGGUAAUCUAAUUGUACUGAAAUGUGAUUUUGAUUGUAUGUUAAUAAAUAAAGUUGCCCGGG